rnacentral:rRNA from 1 species
AUUGAACGCUGGCGGCAUGCCUUACACAUGCAAGUCGAACGGCAGCACGGGAGCAAUCCUGGUGGCGAGUGGCGAACGGGUGAGUAAUAUAUCGGAACGUGCCCAGUAGUGGGGGAUAACUGCUCGAAAGAGCAGCUAAUACCGCAUACGACCUGAGGGUGAAAGGGGGGGAUCGCAAGACCUCUCGCUAUUGGAGCGGCCGAUAUCAGAUUAGCUAGUUGGUGGGGUAAAGGCCUACCAAGGCAACGAUCUGUAGUUGGUCUGAGAGGACGACCAGCCACACUGGGACUGGAACACGGCCCAGACUCCUACGGGAGGCAGCAGUGGGGAAUUUUGGACAAUGGGCGCAAGCCUGAUCCAGCAAUGCCGCGUGCAGGAAGAAGGCCUUCGGGUUGUAAACUGCUUUUGUCAGGGAAGAAAUCCUCUAGGUUAAUACCCUUGGGGGGAUGACGGUACCUGAAGAAUAAGCACCGGUUAACUACGUGCCAGCAGCCGCGGUAAGAC